GGGCCCGCACAAGCGGUGGAGCAUGUGGUUUAAUUCGAUGAUACGCGAGGAACCUUACCAGGGCUUAAAUGUAACGGGACAGAUCUAGAGAUAGAUCCUUCUUCGGACUCAUUACAAGGUGCUGCAUGGUUGUCGUCAGCUCGUGCCGUGAGGUGUCAGGUUAAGUCCUAUAACGAGCGCAACCCCCAUCGUUAGUUGCCAACGAGUAAUGUCGGGAACUCUAACGAAACUGCCGGUGCAAACCGUGAGGAAGGUGGGGAUGACGUCAAAUCAUCACGGCCCUUACGUCCUGGGCUACACACGUGCUACAAUGGUCGGUACAGAGAGCAGCCACUACGCGAGUAGGAGCAAAUCUUCAAAGCCGAUCUUAGUCCGGAUCGCAGUCUGCAACUCGACUGCGUGAAGUUGGAAUCGCUAGUAA
rnacentral:rRNA from 1 species